rnacentral:rRNA from 1 species
GAAGUGGGUAGUCCGUACGAGCGCACCUUGUCCUUAUUUGCCAUCAUUUAGUUGGGUACUCUAGGGAGACUGCCGGUGACAAACCGGAGGAAGGUGGGGACGACGUCAAGUCAUCAUGGCCCUUACGACCAGGGCUACACACGUGCUACAAUGGGGCGUACAAAGGGUUGCAACCCCGCGAGGGAGAGCUAAUCCCAUAAAACGUUUCGUAGUCCGGAUCGCAGUCUGCAACUCGACUGCGUGAAGUCGGAAUCGCUAGUAAUCGUGAAUCAGAAUGUCACGGUGAAUACGUUCCCGGGCCUUGUACACACCGCCCGUCACACCAUGGGAGUGGGUUGCAAAAGAAGUGGGUAGCAUAACCUUUUGGAGUGCGCUCACCACUUUGUGAUUCAUGACUGGGGUGAAGUCGUAACAAGGUAGCCGUAGGGGAACCUGCGGCUGGAUCACCUCCUU